rnacentral:rRNA from 1 species
AACGGCCGCGGUACCCUAACCGUGCGAAGGUAGCAUAAUCACUUGUUCUUUAAAUAGGGACUCGUAUCAACGGCAUCACGAGGGCUAUACUGUCUCCUUUCUCCAAUCAGUGAAACUGAUCUUCCCGUGAAGAAGCGGGAAUUAUUGUAUAAGACGAGAAGACCCCAUGGAGCUUUAAACUCAAUAUAUACCUCUACGCAUUUAUAUCACUAUAGCCUAAGAAGAUUAUAUAUUAGUUUUGGGUUGGGGGGACCGCGGAGAAAAAAUUAACCUCCACGACAAAUAGGCCAACGCCUUUAUCUAUGAACCACAAUUCUAAGAAUCAAUAAACUGAUGUUUAAUGAUCCAAUUUUUUGAUCAACGAACCAAGUUACCCUGGGGAUAACAGCGCAAUCUACUUCAAGAGCUCCUAUCGACAAGUGGGUUUACGACCUCGAUGUUGGAUCAGGGUAUCCUAGUGGUGCAGCCGCUACUAAAGGUUCGUUUGUUCAACGAUUAAAACCCUACGUGA